CGCCCCCAGAGGCGGGCGGGCGGCCGCUGCGCGCUCCCCUCCCCGCGGCGGUACCUGCGCUGGAAGUCGGUCCGGAAGGGCGCCAGCUCCUAGGUACCUUAACUCUUUCCCACAACCAUCUCCAAAAUUGUUCUCAGUUUGAGACUCAUCCCCCCCUAUCUCGGCUUCCUCUGAAUUGUGCCUCUAAGUCCUGAGCUUGGCAGUUUUCCUGAUGCAGACAAGAGGUAGGACUUGCUUUAUAAGUCAUCAGCCCCGAGGCCUUCACAAGAAAAACAGUGAUGUUUACCUUGGGGGAUUCUAAUUCCUCAGCUUUGGCUGUCUCCUCAGCAGCUCCUGUGUUGUCAUCUGCUCCAACACAUGCACUUACAAGGAGCACUUACAAAGGGAGCUGAGUCAUUCUCUAAAUCUGGACCAUCGUGCUCUGAACAUAAAACCUUCCUCUGCAGUUCUU